rnacentral:rRNA from 1 species
AUUGAACGCUGGCGGCAGGCCUAACACAUGCAAGUCGAACGGUAACAGGAAGAAGCUUGCUUCUUUGCUGACGAGUGGCGGACGGGUGAGUAAUGUCUGGGAAACUGCCUGAUGGAGGGGGAUAACUACUGGAAACGGUAGCUAAUACCGCAUAACGUCGCAAGACCAAAGAGGGGGACCUUCGGGCCUCUUGCCUUCGGAUGUGCCCAGAUGGGAUUAGCUAGUAGGUGGGGUAACGGCUCACCUAGGCGACGAUCCCUAGCUGGUCUGAGAGGAUGACCAGCCACACUGGAACUGAGACACGGUCCAGACUCCUACGGGAGGCAGCAGUGGGGAAUAUUGCACAAUGGGCGCAAGCCUGAUGCAGCCAUGCCGCGUGUAUGAAGAAGGCCUUCGGGUUGUAAAGUACCUUCAGCGGGGAGGAAGGGAGUAAAGUUAAUACCUUUACUCAUUGACGUUACCCGCAGAAGAAGCACCGGCUAACUCCGUG